CAGGAAAAGUUUUCCUCUAUUGAAGAGCUCCAGCAAAUAAGUGCUGGAGGAAUGAGAAGAUGAGAAAAUCUCCAUUUUACAAACUUGAAUGAAAGAGUGGAUCUAAGAAGCCACCUUUAAUGGCUGCCAAAACCAUUAUGUGAAGACUGAUGAGAAACUUGACAAUGGAGGGAUCGGACAGACACCACCCAAACCCACUUAUCAGUCCUAACAUCAGUAAACAUGGACAAUCAGGAAUCCUGGGACUCCAAACAGGUGAUAUAAUGACACAGUACCUAGCACAUGAGGCUUACCGUACACGAAGAGAAAUCAACGCUUUGAUCUAACUACAUCUUUAUAGUAAAUGGGAAUUAAAGAAGAAGUUAAAUGAUUCCAUAAAAGAGCAAUCAGCAAAUCUAUAAUUUGGGGCAUUCUGUAAGUCAAAUGAUGAAUCUUUUUUGCAGCAUACAGAUAACAUAAAUAUUUUUGUUGAAGUAGGAAAAAGGGAACUUUUGUGGAUCCCAAAGACUUAGGAAACCACUAACCAAAUGCAAUGGAUGGACCUCAAUGGAUCCUGAUUUGAUUGAAAUGUGAAAAUGCCUGUUGGAGACAAUUAGGUAAAUCUGAUGUGGCUUAUUAAUUAGGUGAUUUUAUACAAUUAUUAAUUUUAUAAUGUGAUAAUGAUCUUAUCAUUCUGUAAGAAACUCUUAUCUACUAAUGACAUGUAAUGGACUAAUUAGAAUU
rnacentral:lncRNA from 1 species